UGUCAUAUCUUCCCAAAAUCCCAACUUCACACCUACAACGGUGGCUGCAUCAUCUCUUUUUUUUAAAAAUAUGUUAUUUUUUUUAAGAAAAUAAGUCCGUCGGUGAAAAGUCUGGCGGCGAAAAGGUUGGCGACAAAUAAGAUCAUCGGUGGAAAUAUUAUUGAUCCAUUGGCGAAACGGUGUGUCAGCGAAAAGAUCGCGACGAAAAGGAUGGUUUCGUAAUAUAUAAUUUGAUAAUAUUACACUAC